AACCCAUGGUGAGGGCACCUUCUCAGUAAGUCCUUGUAUCUCUCCCAUGCACCAUAAAGUGUUUCUAAAUCCAUCUACACAAAUAAGAGAUAUCAUUACACAAUUU
rnacentral:snoRNA from 1 species